rnacentral:rRNA from 1 species
UACGUAGGGGGCAAGCGUUGUCCGGAAUCAUUGGGCGUAAAGAGCGUGUAGGCGGUCCGGUAAGUCGGCUGUGAAAGCCCCGGGCUUAACCUGGGAACUGCGUUUGAUACGGAUGGGCUAGAGUUCGGGAGAGGAGAGUGGAAUUCCCAGUGUAGAGGUGAAAUUCGUAGAUAUUGGGAAGAACACCGGUGGCGAAGGCGGCUCUCUGGACCGAGACUGACGCUGAGGCGCGAAAGCGUGGGGAGCAAACAGG